rnacentral:rRNA from 1 species
GACGAACGCUGGCGGCGUGCUUAACACAUGCAAGUCGAACGGAAAGGCCCUGCUUUUGUGGGGUGCUCGAGUGGCGAACGGGUGAGUAACACGUGAGUAACCUGCCCUUGACUUUGGGAUAACUUCAGGAAACUGGGGCUAAUACCGGAUAGGAGCUCCUGCUGCAUGGUGGGGGUUGGAAAGUUUCGGCGGUUGGGGAUGGACUCGCGGCUUAUCAGCUUGUUGGUGGGGUAGUGGCUUACCAAGGCUUUGACGGGUAGCCGGCCUGAGAGCGUGAACGGCCACAUUGGGACUGAGAUACGGCCCAGACUGCUACGGGAGGCAGCAGUGGGGAAUAUGGCACAAUGGGCGGAAGCCUGAUGCAGCAACGCCGCGUGCGGGAUGACGGCCUUCGGGUUGUAAACCGCUUUCGCCUGUGACGAAGCGUGAGUGACGGUAAUGGGUAAAGAAGCACCGGCUAACUACGUG